UCCCCACAAGGACCAGCGGGUCCCCACAACGUCGUAUGUGCCAGAAAAAUGGUCCCCACAAGGUGCACCGAAUCGCCUCGCGAAAGGAAGCUUUUAGUCGCAGGGUGACGCAAGUGAAGACGUGGAAGGAGGAGAGCUGACUCAGCGCAUGCUCCCUGCUCGUCUCCUGCAUUGUUGACUGUCAAUGCAACUCAAAUCAUUUUCUUAGAUUGUUUUAUUUUAACAUCAUGCAAGACGCCGUCGUAAAAUAUAGAACAAUCAUGCCAUGGACAAGGAAAUAAAUACACAGAGUAGCCACA